UACGGAGGAUGCGAGCGCUAUCCGGAUUUAUUGGGUUUAAAGGGUGCGUAGGCGGACUGUCAAGUCAGCGGUAAAAUUGAGAGGCUCAACCUCUUCCCGCCGUUGAAACUGGUGGUCUUGAGUGGAUGAGAAGUACGCGGAAUGCGUGGUGUAGCGGUGAAAUGCAUAGAUAUCACGCAGAACUCCGAUUGCGAAGGCAGCGUACCGGCAUCCAACUGACGCUGAGGCACGAGAGCGUGGGGAUCAAACGGG
rnacentral:rRNA from 1 species